rnacentral:rRNA from 1 species
GAUGAACGCUGGCGGCGUGCCUAAUACAUGCAAGUCGAGCGAACAGAUAAGGAGCUUGCUCCUUUGACGUUAGCGGCGGACGGGUGAGUAACACGUGGGUAACCUACCUAUAAGACUGGAAUAACUCCGGGAAACCGGGGCUAAUGACGGAUAACAUGUUGAACCGCAUGGUUCUACAGUGAAAGGCGGCUUUGCUGUCACUUAUAGAUGGACACGCGCCGUAUUAGCUAGUUGGUGAGGUAACGGCCCACCAAGGCAACGAUACGUAGCCGACCUGAGAGGGUGAACGGCCACACUGGAACUGAGACACGGUCCAGACUCCUACGGGAGGCAGCAGUAGGGAAUCUUCCGCAAUGGGCGAAAGCCUGACGGAGCAACGCCGCGUGAGUGAUGAAGGUCUUCGGAUCGUAAAACUCUGUUAUUAGGGAAGAACAAAUGCGUAAGUAACUGUGCGCGUCUUGACGGUACCUAAUCAGAAAGCCACGGCUAACUACGUG